UACGUAGGGGGCAAGCGUUGUCCGGAUUUAUUGGGCGUAAAGAGCGUGUAGGCGGCCACACAGGUCUGCUGUGAAAACUCGAGGCUCAACCUCGAGCUGUCGGUGGAAACCGUGUGGCUAGAGUCCGGAAGAGGAGAGUGGAAUUCCCGGUGUAGCGGUGAAAUGCGCAGAUAUCGGGAAGAACACCCGUGGCGAAAGCGGCUCUCUGGAACGGUACUGACGCUGAGACGCGAAAGCGUGGGGAGCGAACAGG
rnacentral:rRNA from 1 species